rnacentral:rRNA from 1 species
AUUGAACGCUGGCGGCAGGCCUAACACAUGCAAGUCGAGCGAGCGGCGGACGGGUGAGUAAUGCUUGGGAAUCUAGCUUAUGGAGGGGGAUAACUACGGGAAACUGUAGCUAAUACCGCGUACCAUAGGAUGAGCUCAGUUGGGAUUAGGUAGUGGGUGAGGUAAAGGGUCACCAAGCCGACGAUCCCUACCUGGUCUGAGAGGAUGACCAGCCACACGGGGACUGGGAAACGGCCCAGACUCCAACGGGAGGCAGCAGUGGGGAAUAUUGCGCAAUGGGGGAAAUCUGACGCAGCCAUGCCGCGUGAAGGAAGAAGGCCUUCGGGUUGUAAAGUUCUUUCGGUAGCGAGGCGUUAACUACAGAAGAAGCACCGGCUAACUCCGUGCCAGCAGCCGCGGUAAUUC